GCCGGGGUGGCGAAAUUGGUAGACGCAUCAGACUCAAAAUCUGACGGUGGUGACACCGUGCCGGUUCGAGUCCGGCCCUCGGUACCA
rnacentral:tRNA from 2 species